CAUAAGGUGACUGAAAGCAAGUACUGGUCUCUUAAACCAUUUAAUAGUAAAUUAGCGGUUACUUCUUAUGA
rnacentral:tRNA from 1 species